UCCUCCUGGCAAUAGUUAAAGAUACACCUUAUUGGUAAUGUUAUUCUUAUAUCAGUGAGGGGCAGAGAAGAUGGCAGUUUUGUUCAUCUUAGCUUGAUGUGUGGCUUGGUGGCCAAAGUUGCUUUAUGUGCAGGACACAUCA